GCUUGCAAUAAAUCCAACUUGCAGUGAAGGCCAUAAACAUUUGUUGUCUUGGUUUAUUGCCAAAGACUGUCCCAGGAAGAAUGUCCUCUGCCACUCCCAGGCUGUUGAAAUGUCAGAUGGUAAAAACAAGCAAGAGUUCCAGAUGGGGCAAGUGGAAAAGAAACGUGACAAAGAUGGUAAUGGGAAAGCUUCAGAUUCUCACUUGACUGGGAGUCUCAUGACUUCACCUGUGACUUCCAAACCCACUCUCUGUGCAAGCUCUUGUACAAAGCAGCAUUCCUUACAUGAAGUUCUUCAUUACCAGGGACUGAUGAUUGAAAUAAUUAGAAGGAGCAAGUCAUGAUGCUCACAGCCUCCCUAUCUGCUGGUCUGCAAAUGGAACUUCACCUCACUGAGCCAUUUCCCAGUACAACAAAUCUC